rnacentral:lncRNA from 1 species
AGUUGAUGCAAUUUACUGCCAACCUGUCUUUUUUAUUGCACUGUGAAGAAAGUCAUUCUGUAACACUAUUUUCUCGAACGCCCUAGUGAGUGGCUGUAAGACAUGACCUGAAACUCAUCCCCAGGCUCUGUAUCUGGGUGGAAGUUUGUACCAGGAGACAGAAGAAGCCUGUGGUCCUGUGCCCUAUCACCGAAAUGUUCACACAGGACGUACCAGGGGACCCACACAUGGCACCGGGGGAGCAUGGCCUGGUAGAGGGCCUUGGACAGUGGGCCUUGGUCUUGUGGAGCUGAGCCUGGUGAACACGGAUUCCCUAGCACGAGGACGAGCACAGUCCAACACAUCUCUGCGUGUUCGGGGAAAGAGCUCGUGGAGAAGCGACAGGGAAUGGCCUCGCCGUGACCCCAGCCUCAAACACGCCAGCUUUGAAGAAGUCUCUAAAAAAGCUUUUGUGCCAGUCCCGUGA